GCUAAUCUAUGCCGCUGCCAACCUACCUACCACUGCUAAUCUAUGCCGCUGCCAACCUACCUAUCGCUGCUAAUCUAUUGCUGCUAAUCUAUCGCUGCUAAUCUAUUGCUGCUAAUCUAUUGCUGCUAAUCUAUCGCUGCUAAUCUAUUGCUGCUAAUCUAUCGCUGCUAAUCUAUUGCUGCUAAUCUAUCGCUGCUAAUCUAUUGCUGCUAAUCUAUCUAUCACUGCUAAUCUAUCGCUGCCAACCUACCUACCGCUGCCAACCUAUCUACCACUGCCAACCUACCUACCGCUGCCAACCUACCUACCACUGCUAAUCUAUCGCUGCCAACCUAUAUAGGGUAAAUCAUGGUCCCAUUUGGUCCCAUUUUGUAAAAUGGGACCAAAUGGGACUGGGACCACUAAUUUAUUAGUAAAACAUGAUCUGGGACUAGAUUUAUAAUAUAAACAGUGUAAAGUGACUAAUUUACUAAACACUAUAUGGGACCAGGACUAAGAUAUCUAAUAAUGGAACUGAGGAAAAAUUUGGUCCCAGUCCCAUGCAUGGUCACACAGCCAGUCUAUUCUGAAUGCAGGAAGGAUUGAUGGGUAAUGAGCUGAGACCCUUUAGAAAUGUGUAAAGUGUGUCGUGCUUCAUUUGACUGGUCAUCCCAUCAAAUUAUUUGGUUAUAUAUAUAUAUAUAUAUAUACAUAUAACUAACUUCAAGUGCUUUAAGAUAGUGUUUAUAUAGUAGAAAGACCCAAGUUUAUACUGAUUGUGAUAGGCUUUUAUUUUUUGAUAACCAAAGAAUAUUUUUGAUUCUUAUUUAACCUUUGAAGGAGGACAUA
rnacentral:sRNA from 2 species